UACAGAGGGUGCAAGCGUUAAUCGGAAUUACUGGGCGUAAAGCGUGCGUAGACGGUUAUUUAAGUCGGGUGUGAAAGCCCCGGGCUCAACCGGGGAGGGUCAUUGGAAACUGGGAAACUUGAGUGCAGAAGAGGAAAGUGGAAUUCCAAGUGUAGCGGUGAAAUUCGUAGAUAUUCGGAAGAACACCAGUGGCGAAGGCGGCUCACUGGACUGGUAUUGACGCUGAGGUGCGAAAGCGUGGGGAGCAAACAGG
rnacentral:rRNA from 1 species